CGAGCCGCCCCGGCCGCUGGUGUGGUAACGUACAGCGGCGCGCACUUCUUGGAGCUUCUAUAUCAGCUCCCCGAGCUCGGGUCACGGGCCCUCCUGAGGUAGAUGAUGGCGCCUGGGCUGCGGUGUCGUCGGCCUGGCACCUCUGCAGAUUUUCUGCAACUGUUUUUCCCCCACCUUUAAACCAACUCUUUCGAAGCUCGGUAUAGAUGUGCACGCGCUCACCUGGCCUUGAGUUUCUCUGCGCUUCUCCACAGCCCAGGGAGGCACAUUAACUUGUUGAAGCUUCCCGACACACGUGUGAGAUAAUGCUGUUAUACCCACUUUACAGAUGAAAAAAUUGAAAUACAGUGGCCAAGUUACUUGACAAUAUUGGAUUAAGACCCAGGCGUCUAAGCCACUGUGCCCUGGCACCGGCAAGCCACAACUACUAAAGCCUGUGUGGCUGGAGCCUGUGCUCUGCUGCAAGAGAAGCCGGCGCUAUGAGAAGCCCUUGUACCACAGCGGGAGGAAAGCUGACAUGCAGCAAUGAAGACCCAAUGCAGUCAGAAAUAAAUAAAGUCUGCGAGGAAAAAAAGUCUCUAAAACAGCUCACAACUAGAGGGAGAAUAUUUGCAAAUCAUCUGUUCCAUAAGGGACUUCUGUCUAAGAUAUAUCUAUCUAAGAUAUCUAUCUAAGAUAAAACUCAAUUUUUUAAAAGGCCCUAUUUGAAAAUAGGCAAAGGUGACACCACCAAAUACUAAUGAGAAUGCGGAGCUGCAGGAACUCGCAUUGUUGGUCUUCACUGUGUGUCGCAGGAUCUUUUUUUGCAACACACAGACUGUCUAGUUGUGGCGUUGCAGCUCAGUAGUGACUUGUGGGCUCCAGAACAAGACAGCUUUAGUAGUUGCUACUCUCAGGCUUAGCUGCCUAAUGGCAUGUGGGAUCUUAGUUCCCCAACCAGGGAUCAAACCUGCAUCCUCUGCAUUGCAAGGCGUAUUCUCAACUACUGGACCACCAGGGAAGUCUGUGACAGUAUUCUAAUCAGAUUGUUUACUUGUUGAGUUUUGAAAGUUCUUUCUAUGUUCUAGGUGCUAGUCCUUUGUCAGAUACAUGGUUUGCAAAUAUUUUCUCCCACUCUGUAGCUUGAUUUUCUAUCUUUUCAGCAGGAUCUUUCACAGAACAGGAGUGUUUAAUUUUGAUGAAAGCCAAUUUUUUUUUCCUUUUAUGGAUUGUGUUUUUUGUGUCAAAUUAAAGAACCCUAGCUGUAGUUUCAGUAGAUUUUCUUUGACUGUUUUCCUAAGAGUUUUAUGUUUUACAUUUAAGUACAUGGUCCACUUUGAGUUAAUUUUCAUAUGGGACAUUAACUUAGAUUGAGGGAUUUUUGUUUUGUUUUUGCUGAUGGAUGUCCGAUUACUCCAGAACCAUUUGGGGAAAACCCAGCUUUCCUCCACUGAAUUGCUUUUGUACCUUUACCAAAAUUCAGUUAAAAGCUACAAUAAUCAGGACUUCCCUGGUGGUCCAGUGGUAAAUAAUCCACUUGCCAAUGCAGGGGACCUGGGUUUGAUCCCUGGUGCAGGAAGAUUCCACAUGCAUGCCAAGGAGCAACUCAGCCCGUGGACCCCAACUACUAGCCUGCACUCUCGGGCCUACCAGCCACAGCUACUGAGUCUAUGUGCUGCAACUACUGAAGCCCGCACACCUAGAGCCUGUGCCCAACAAGAGAAGGCACCACAAUGAAAAGCCCAAGCAGUGCAACUGGAGAGUAGCCCCUGUUCACUGCAGCUAAAGGAAGCCUGCAAGCAGCAAUGAAGACCCGACACAGCCAAAAAUCAUAAUGACUUUUAAAAACUAAAUUCUAAUAGUUCUCAUAACAAGGAGAAUUUUUUAUUUUAUCUAUAUGAGAAGAUGGAUGUUAACUGAACCUAUUGUAAUUAUUUCACAGUAUAUGUAAAUAAAACCAUCAUGCCAUAUAUGUUUAAGUUUUGCAGUGAUGUAUGUCAGUUAUUUCUCAAUACAACUUAAAAAACUAAAUAAAAAUUAUAUAAUCAGGAUUUUGAUUGAGAUUGCAUUGAAUGUGGAUUGAAAUCGAACACGGAAGUGACAUCUUGUGGUCCAGUGGUUAGGAUGCCAUUCUUUCACUGCCGAGGGUAUGGGUUCAGUCCCUGGUGGGUUUAAUCCCCGAGGACCCACCAGCCGUGUGGUGUG